rnacentral:rRNA from 1 species
UACAGAGGGUGCGAGCGUUGUCCGGAAUCACUGGGCGUAAAGGGCGCGUAGGCGGCCUGAUAAGUAGGGGGUGAAAUCCUGCGGCUUAACCGCAGGGCUGCCUUCUAAACUGUCGGGCUCGAGCACAGUAGAGGCAGGUGGAAUUCCCGGUGUAGCGGUGGAAUGCGUAGAGAUCGGGAAGAACAUCAGUGGCGAAGGCGGCCUGCUGGGCUGUUGCUGACGCUGAGGCGCGACAGCGUGGGGAGCAAACAGGAUUAGAAACCCCAGUAGUCC